AGCUUAUUGAGCUAUAACCAACUAACGGACCACUUGAAAGAAAUCGAGGGAUUUGGCCCUUUUACUCGUGCCAAUGUUCUGAUGUGCAUGGGUUACUACCAUGUUAUUCCAACCGAUUCUGAAACGAUUAGGCAUUUGAAACAGGUUCAUUCAAGAAAAUCCACAACCCAAACAGUUCAGAGAGAUGUUGAAGAAAUUUAUGGAAAGUACGAGCCGUACCAAUUCCUGGCAUACUGGUCUGAACUAUGGGACUUCUACGAAAGAAGAUUUGGGAAAAUGAAUGAAUUGUCUUG